CCCUUAGAUGUUCUGGGCCGCACGCGCGCUACACUGAUGCAUUCAACGAGCCUAUCCUUGACCGACAGGUCCGGGUAAUCUUUGAAUCUGCAUCGUGACGGGGAUAGAUUAUUGCAAUUAUUAAUCUUCAACGAGGAAUUCCUAGUAAGCGCAAGUCAACAGCUUGCGUUGAUUACGUCCCUGCCCUUUGUACACACCGCCCGUCGCUACUACUGACUGGAUGUUUAAGCGAGGUUCUCGAACUGCUAGCGACUUAGCUUCGGCGAGGUCGCAGUGUGGGAAGUGAACCUAGCUUUGGUGUCUAGAGGAAGUAAAAGUCGUAACA
rnacentral:rRNA from 1 species